rnacentral:rRNA from 1 species
GGAUGAUGACGGUCUACCUGCCCACUGAGUUUUAAAUGGCCGCAGUAUAUUAACUGUGCAAAGGUAGCAUAAUCAUUAGUCUUUUAAUUGAAGGCUGGUAUGAAUGGUUGGACGAAAUAUUAACUGUUUCAAAUAAAUUUAUUGUAGAAUUUUAUUUUUUAGUCAAAAAGCUAAAAUUUAUUUAAAAGACGAGAAGACCCUAUAAAUCUUUAUAUUUCUGUUUUUCUUGACUAUGAAGAAUAAUUUUAUUAAGAUAAAUGAAAAUAUUUUAUUGGGGUGAUGUUAAAAUUUAAUAAACUUUUAAUUUGUUAAAUCAUUAAUUUAUGAAUAAUUGAUCCAAUUUUAUUGAUUAUAAAUUUAAGUUACUUUAGGGAUAACAGCGUAAUUUUUUUGGAGAGUUCAUAUCGAUAAAAAAGAUUGCGACCUCGAUGUUGGAUUAAGAAAUAAGGUUAGGUGUAGCCGCUUAAAUGUUAAGUCUGUUCGACUUUUAAAUUCUUACGUGAUCUGAUUCCCAGACCCGGA